rnacentral:tRNA from 3 species
GGAUCUUUAGCUCAGUUGGUUAGAGCGUUCGCUUCACACGCGAGAGGUCGCUGGUUCGAGUCCAGUAAGAUCCACC